GGAGAGGUGUGAUAAUGGUAGUCGGCGCGCUUGGAAAGCGCGUGUCCCCGUAAGGGGAUUACGGGUUCGAGUCCCGUCCUCUCCG
rnacentral:tRNA from 1 species